rnacentral:antisense_RNA from 1 species
GAGUAGCUGGGACUACAGGUUGGCAUUCUUCUUGUUUCGUCUCCUCCUCCUUUCCCUGGAUGAUCUUACUUCCUCCCUGGUCUUUAACCAUCACCUGCAGGCUGACAGCUCCCAAAUCUCUAUCUUCAAUCCAGAUGUCUGUCCCAGGCUCCAGUUUUGUGGUUCCACCUGAGACCUUUCCACCUAUAUGCUUUACAGGUCACAGAAUUUUCCACACUCCUUGACGGAGGUGCUUAACCCUUAUCCAUCAGCAUUCUCAGACAGCACCUCCGGUUAGGGACAGUAUCUGACCGUCCGACAUCCCUGCAGCCCCCAUGUGUCACACAGACUCAGCCUCAGGUAGAUGGUUUCCGUAGAUGGUGGCUUUCUUUGGACCCUUGACAUCAACCAGUUACUAUUUGACUCUUCUGCAGAACCCCCUGUUGACCCCUGCUUUGAGGUGGCAGAGUUAACACUACUCUUCGUUAUAAGCUCUCGUCUGGGGCAACUCAGAAGAACGGGACCAGAUGUGCAGAGGUAAUGAAUACCAGGGAAUCAGGAAACCACUGGAUCAGUUCUUUGAGCCACAGAACAACACUCAUCCCAGCAGCUGGGAAGCUAUCUGCAAAAGUCCAUCUGCAGAAAGGGCUUCCUGGUCUUGCGUGUGGCUGGGCCAUUUCUCUGGAUGCAGGUUUUUCAUUAUACAGUCUUCUCAAAGAAACACCUGCUCUCAACACC